rnacentral:rRNA from 1 species
GACGAACGCUGGCGUCGUGCUUAACACAUGCAAGUCGAACGGAAAGGCCUCUUUCGGGGGGUACUCGAGUGGCGAACGGGUGAGUAACACGUGAGUAACCUGCCCUUGACUUUGGGAUAACUUCAGGAAACUGGGGCUAAUACCGGAUAGGAGCUCCUGCUGCAUGGUGGGGGUUGGAAAGUUUCGGCGGUUGGGGAUGGACUCGCGGCUUAUCAGCUUGUUGGUGGGGUAGUGGCUUACCAAGGCUUUGACGGGUAGCCGGCCUGGGAGGGUGACCGGCCACAUUGGGACUGAGAUACGGCCCAGACUCCUACGGGAGGCAGCAGUGGGGAAUAUUGCACAAUGGGUGGAAGCCUGAUGCAGCAACGCCGUGUGCGGGAUGACGGCCUUCGGGUUGUAAACCGCUUUCGCUCAUGACGAAGCUUUGUGUGACGGUAGUGGGUAAAGAAGCACCGGCUAACUACGUG